GACAGAGGGUGCAAACGUUGUUCGGAAUUACUGGGCGUAAAGCGCGUGUAGGCGGUUCGUAAAGUCGGAUGUGAAAGCCCUGGGCUUAACCCAGGAAGUGCAUUCGAAACUCACGAACUUGAGUCCCGGAGAGGAAGGCGGAAUUCUCGGUGUAGCAGUGAAAUGCGUAGAUAUCGAGAGGAACACUAAGGGCGAAGGCAAGACUCUGGACAAGUGCUGACGCUCAUGCACGAAGGCUAGGAUAGCGAACGGG
rnacentral:rRNA from 1 species